rnacentral:rRNA from 1 species
CGUUGAUUACGUCCCUGCCCUUUGUACACACCGCCCGUCGCUACUACCGAUUGAAUGGCUUAGUGGGCCCCUCGGAUUGGAGUUUGGCAGCUGGCAACAGCAGCCGAUCGCUGAAAAGUUGGGCAAACUUGGUCAUUUAGAGGAAGUAAAAGUCGUAACAAGG